CGCACUUGUUGAGUUUGGGAACUUUCAGAGGCUUGAACUUCUCACUUAGGACGCAGCGGAGCUCUCUCAUCAUCAUCAAAUUCAGGCGAAGUGGAUUUAUGCUGACUUUUUACGUCUGGGACUAUGUUUUGCUUUGUCGAAGUGGUUUGUCUUUAGUGUUUUACGCGUUAUAGACGCGCACCGAUAUAGCGUGCGCGAGUAAUAACAUUACUAUGAGGAUGUAGACGCGCCUUUAAUGCACUCGCGUCACUUUAAUCGAUUCCUAUCUGAAGGAGAGUUAGUGUUUGGUGCAGAGAUGUGGGGCUGUUGGGAUAUGGGAUUAUUUAUGGACUAUCAUUGGACUUUAAACUCUAAAGGGACACUCGCUUGAGCAGUGAACGGAGAAUAUCGCUGCUUUGCCAAGAUGCAUCAUCAGCCCAAAUCCGAUGGGACGCUUCAGCAUGCUGUCAUCUGUUCAGAUGGAGUGACAUUUGUCUGGUUCUCCAAGUGCUCUUAAUCAAUGAUGUUAUCAAUGCUGUGGAAUCUGGCCCGCUUGCAUCAUGUGCACUAACAGUGGAACCUCAAUGGAGACAGCUCCUAUUUCCCAGACCUUUCUUUCAUGACAGAGCGGGCCUGUGAACAAUGCAUCUCUGUGCAGUUUGUUUUCUCCAGCGAUCAACUUGUUUUUAACAUGCUCUGUGUUGAGUGGUGGCAAUGGAAAGAGUGGGCCGGGCCCUGGCCAUACUCAGGAUUUCAGUUCUGCUGCUUGAGCCCAGUGGACAAACCUGACAGUUCCAGGGGAGUCCCGUACCCACGGACACCUACGCCAAGCAUUGAGCUCACUGUUUU
ensembl:lncRNA